UUAUGCUAAUAAGAGCGUAUGGUGGAUGCCUUGGCACUAAGAGCCGAUGAAAGACGUGAUAAGCUGCGAAAAGCUUCGGGGAGGAGCAAAUAUCCAUUGAUCCGGAGAUUUCUGAAUGGGGAAACCUACUUGAGAAGACCUCAAGUAUCCACAGCCCAAUCCAUAAGCUGUGGAAGGGAACCCGGUGAACUGAAACAUCUAAGUAGCCGGAGGAAGAGAAAACAACAUGUGAUUCCGUAAGUAGCGGCGAGCGAACGCGGAAGAGCCCAAACCGGAGUGCGUGCACUCCGGGGUUCGGACUGCAGGAUUGACGAGUGAGCCUAGUAGAAUGGUUUUGGGAAAGCCAGCCAGAGAGGGUGAAAGCCCCGUACACGAAAGGCGAGCGAGCAUGGCAGGAUCCAGAGUACCACGAGACACGUGAAACCUUGUGGGAAUGAGCGGGGACCACCCCGUAAGGCUAAAUACUCCUUAGUGACCGAUAGCGCAUAGUACUGUGAAGGAAAGGUGAAAAGGACCCCGGGAGGGGAGUGAAAGAGAACCUGAAACCAUAUGUUUACAAGCUGUGGAACAUCUUUAUAUGAUGAACCGCGUACUUUUUGUAGAACGGUCCGGCGAGUUACGCUGGCUGGCGAGGUUAAGGGCUGAAGGCCUGGAGCCGAAGGGAAACCGAGUCUGAACAGGGCGAAAUAGUCAGUCGGAGUAGACCCGAAACCGGGUGAUCUAUCCAUGUCCAGGUUGAAGUUGCCGUAAAAGGCAAUGGAGGACCGAACCCACAUCCGUUGAAAAGGGUGGGGAUGAGGUGUGGAUAGGGGAGAAAUUCCAAUCGAACCCGGAGAUAGCUGGUUCUCCUCGAAAUAGCUUUAGGGCUAGCCUCAUGCAAGUCUUACGGAGGUAGAGCACUGAAUUCCUAAGGGGGCGUCAAAGCUUACCAAGGGAUAUCAAACUCCGAAUGCCGUGUAGAUGGUGCAUGGGAGUCAGACUAUCCGAGAUAAGUUGGGUAGUCAAAAGGGAAAGAGCCCAGACCUACAGCUAAGGUCCCAAAAUGUGUGUUAAGUGGAAAAGGAUGUGGGAUUUCGAAGACAACUAGGAUGUUGGCUUAGAAGCAGCCAUCCAUUAAAAGAGUGCGUAAUAGCUCACUAGUCGAGAGGUCCUGCGCCGAAAAUGUCCGGGGCUGAAACACACUACCGAAGCUUGGGAAUUGACGAAUGUUAAUUGGUAGAGGAGCAUUCUUAACGGGGCGAAGCUGUACCGGAAGGAGCAGUGGACUGUUAAGAAGAGAGAAUGCCGGAAUGAGUAGCGAGAGGAAGGUGAGAAUCCUUCCGGCCGAAUAUCUAAGGUUUCCAGAGUAAAGCUGAUCUGCUCUGGGUAAGUCGGGGCCUAAGGCGAGGUCGAAAGACGUAGUCGAUGGAUAACAGGUAAAGAUUCCUGUACUAUAUCAUAACAGAACUGUGGGGACGCAGACAGAGAGCAUAAGCCGGGAAUGGAAAAACCGGUACAAGCGAGGUAGGAGUGCAUCAGGCAAAUCCGGUGCACAAUCUGAAGACGUGAUGUGGGGCGUAAAGCCGGAAGUAUGUGAGCUGGCUGCCAAGAAAAGCCGCUAUUGUUUAUGAUAUACCCGUACCGUAAACCGACACAGGUGGAUGAGGAGAGAAUCCUAAGGCCGACGGGAGAAGCAUUGUUAAGGAACUCGGCAAAAUGACUCCGUAACUUCGGGAGAAGGAGUGCCAUGUAAAAGUGGCCGCAGAGAAUUGGCCCAAGCAACUGUUUAGCAAAAACACAGGUCUAUGCAAAACCGAAAGGUGAGGUAUAUGGGCUGACGCCUGCCCGGUGCUGGAAGGUUAAGGGGAGAGGUUAGUCGUAAGGCGAAGCUUUGAACUUAAGCCCCAGUAAACGGCGGCCGUAACUAUAACGGUCCUAAGGUAGCGAAAUUCCUUGUCGGGUAAGUUCCGACCCGCACGAAAGGCGUAA
rnacentral:rRNA from 1 species